rnacentral:ncRNA from 1 species
AUAUGGAAGUGCAUGACGGUGUAACGCAGCUUUCUAAGGAAACUUAGGAAUGAAAACAAUGUGAAUUCGGGGAAGCCCUUCUGUAGGGUAAUCCCGAGCCAAGCCCCGACAUAAAGUCGGGGAAGGUGUAGAGACUAUCCAUUUAUUGGAGUACUCUGAAAAUUUUUCAGCGGAAGCGCAUUGCUCCUAAGUUCACAUUUGUGAAUAUGGAGAUGAUAUAGUCCACACUUCUAGUAAUAGGAGA